rnacentral:rRNA from 1 species
AUCGAACGCUGGCGGCAGGCCUAACACAUGCAAGUCGAACGAGCGGCGGACGGGUGAGUAAUGUCUGGGUAACUGCCCGAUGGAGGGGGAUAACUACUGGAAACGGUAGCUAAUACCGCAUACCAUCGGAUGUGCCCAGAUGGGAUUAGCUUGUAGGUGAGGUAACGGCUCCACUAGGCGACGAUCCCUAGCUGGUCUGAGAGGAUGACCAGCCACACUGGAACUGAGGGACGGUCCAGACUCCUACGGGAGGCAGCGGUGGGGAAUAUUGCACAAUUGGCGCAAGCCUGAUGCAGCCAUGCCGCGUGUAUGACGAAGGCCUUCGGGUUGUAAAGUACUUUCAGCGGGGAGGCGUUACCCGCAGAAGAAGCGCCGGCUAACUCCGUGCCAGCAGCCGCGGUAAUAC